UGUCCACUCUGUUUCGAUAUGUUUCCUCAUAGCUUGCUAUGUUUGUUUGAUUAAAAGGAAUUAAAACAAAUUGUUGAGUAACUUUUGAGCAACAAGAAAGUAAAAAGGAUUCAUGUUGUGUUUAGAAUUAGUUACUUUUGGAAGAGCCUGGAAACUAUAGUUGGAACUUUAUAUUUUCUGGCUAAACCUCUUCUUUUGCACAUGAGCAGUGUAAGCCACUGAGAGCAGGAGCAUUGGCUCAAGAGAUGUUGCUGCCAGAGGCAGAGGACAAGCUGUCAUUGUAUCCAUUUCAUGUGCAAAGUUGAUUUUUUCUUUAGUACUGGCAAUGAGACAUUGCUGCCUCCACUCAGCAUGUGCUACCUAAGAUAACUAAGAUAACUAUUGGAAACUAUUGACAAGUUUGACCUAUUAAAACAGGAAUGAGCAAGUUUUUUUGUGAGAUAGGCAGCAGCUGAGAGUGCUCUGGAGGGCUCUCAGCCGCCGCGUGCCUUCCUCGACCCCCCUCAAGAUGUCUUCCUGGCAUAAGAAUGGGACCGUUUGCACCAUUUUUAUGCUGGGAGGAGACACACAAUGGCUGAGAGUGCUCCAGAGGGUUCUCAGUUGCUGUGUGCCUUCCUCCCCAAUCUUUUUGGCAUAAGAACAUGCCAGGCUACUGUGCCAAGAGGACAGGAAAAAUGAGGAAGGCCUGAGGUAAACACCCAGUGCCUUAGUUUGCCCAUGCCUGCAUUAAUAGGUUUGGGAUAACUAUGUAAUGCUCUGGACCAGCUUGGAUUUUGUGGCCCAUGUAGAUGUAGCUCUUGCUCCAUGCUUAGUUUACUUCCUUUGAUGGAAACUCAUUUCAAAGUGCAAAAGUAAUUUGGAUUCAGGAGAGGAGAGAAAGAUAAAAGGCAGAAUCUUGCCCUCCCCAGUAGACUCAGUCAAAAAACUAACUGCUGCAGCUUUUCUUAGCUUGUAUAGCUUUCCAUGUCAAUAACUUUUACCAUCAUUACACUCCACAGUUGCCUAGCCACACAUGGCCAGGAUUUGUGGCAAGGAAGUAUUACCAACUCUUCAAUGUUUCACAGAUAAAUGUUGAAGAGUAGGUAGUACUUCCCAGCCAAAAAUAAAUCAAAAAUUGCCUCUCAAAGGAAAUAGUCAUUUGUCAAACUGACUGUUGACUCUUCUUUUCUAAAGGAAAAAAAAGGUUCAUCCUCAGGGAAAUUACUAAGUGGUUAAGAAAAACCUGUCUGCCUUGUGCAAAGUCCCUCUUUUUUCACCUCCUUCCCUUUGUUCUUCCUUUUUGGUGCCUCCCCAAUGUAUGGGAUAGUUUAUUAGUAUUUGCAUGCAUAAAUAAAACAAUGGCAGAGCAUGGGAAGAAUAAUAUUUAUCCUUCAAUGAUAUUUCCUAGCUAAAUAUUUAUCAAGUUAACACAAACAGAUCCUAUGCACAUAGCUAAGUGAGGACAAUUCAGAGGUGUUUGAUGUGUUUCCCUUGCAGAGAAGCCCCCAAAGAAACAUAUACUCAAACAGUUUUGACAACCUUUUGUGUGUGUCCACAAUUUUACUUGCUUCACUAGCCAAAAACAAGCACAGGUUUGGAAGGUUAGAACACAAGAAUUUAUUAGGAAAAAAAAGCACAAAUCAGGAAAUGCAGAGUUCCACUUAAAGCCGGCAAGUACUGCCAAGGCCGGCCUUAGGUAAUUUUCAAGUGUAGGUGAAGAGAAUUUUGACACCCCCCCCCAAACCAAUCACUGAAAAAUAAAAGCGUUGGAUAACUGAAAAUGUUGGAUAAUAAGGAGGGAUUAAGGAAAAGACUAUUAAACAUCAAAUUACAUUAUGAUUUUACAUAUUAAGCACCAACACAUCAUCAACAGAAAAACCAGUUCAAUACAUGGUAAUGUUAUGUAGGAAUUACUAUAUUUGCGAAUUUAGCACAAAACAUUGAACAGGGAUAUAGGGCAGUGUGGACUUAGAUAACUCAGUUCAAAGCAGAUAUUGUGGGUUAUUGUGCUUUGAUAUUCUAGGUUAUAUGGCUGUGUGGAAGAGCCCUGAUGGUCCUUCCACACAGCCAUAUAACCCAGAAUAUCAAGGCAGAUAAUUAAAAGGCCACCAAAGGGGAAUCAGCCCCCCCCCCCCGGUAUUAAAAAAAACUCUAAAAUCAGGGAAAUCCAGACAGUAAACAAUCAGGGACAGCUAACACCUCCCAAAAAAGAUUCUCCCAGGCAAGAAGAAGCCAGGCCUUGAAGCCACAGGGCCAUUAAAUGCUAAUCAAGGUGAUUAAUUACAACAUUCACACCUGCUUCAAAGAAGAGUUCUUUCUCCUACCCUGGACCUUCUACCCCACUUACCUAGCUUCCAAGUUCCCACAGACCUCACAAUCUCUGAAGGCCCCAAAGGCGGGCCCGCACGGCGCUGAGGGGGCCCAUGCCUGCCAGAAGGCCCAGCGCAGGCACCGGAAGGCCCAGCGCGAGCACUGGAAGGCCUAAAGGAGAAGGAGUCGGGGGACAAUGGUGCCACAGGCAAGUGCCUAAUUCGCCUCACGGUUGGACUGCCUCUGAGUCCUGCUAAACAAAGGUUGCAUUACAUUAUAUAUUUCUUGAGUACCCAUUGACUGACAUUCUUCCCAAAAGUAUUUCCUUAUUAUGGUAUGUUUCCCAAUUGGUUCUGUCCCCGCUCUCCUAUCAGUACAUGCUUUCUCAGUUCAUAUGUAACUCACUAUUUAACUCUAAUUCCCCAAAUUCUUUCUGUCAAGCCCUUCAGUUUGAUGUAAUAACUUGUAUAGGACCAAAGAAAGUGUCUGUCUAAUACCAGGUACGAGCUAGUACAGUCAUCCCUCCACAUUUGUAGUUUUGAUUUUUGUGGAUUUGAUUAUUCCUGGAUUUGAUUUAAAAUGUUCUCUCUAAGAAACUCUAGGUUCUCUAGUACAAUUCUAUGGUCAGCUUCCUCCAGUCAUUAUGGAAAAUCUAGAGAUUUCAGAAAGAGCAUCUGUCUAGGAAUCUCUAGGCCCUCCAAUGUUAUUUUAUGACCAUCUUCCAGUGGAAGUUUAUCACAAAUUCAUGCUGGAAGACCUAGAAAUUCUCCGAGACAUGCUCUCCUGGGUAAAAAUAUACAUAUAGAUUUUGCUUUAUUCUUGAUUUUUUUUUCAUUUUCACAGGUUCCUGUGUGCCUAACCCCAAUGAAUACAGAGGUCUGUUAUCUUCCUCCUAAGGGUAGGGCAAUAGCAGUUGGGAAGGAAUGAGGACCUUUCCUCUGCUUCCAACACCAGGCAUGAUGGAAUUGAAAAUUAAUACAACACAUAAGCCCUGGAACACUGUGUGCUCCCUCUCUUCCUGUUUUUACAUCAUUCAACUGCUCAAUGCUCUAUACAACUUGUUCUGGUUAAAAAAAGGAAGUGAGGACUUCAAAGCUAAAGUCUGACUUCAGAGGUGAACAUAAAGGCCUGACUUGAAUCGGAUAUGUUUCAAGAGUUCUGCCAUUUUCACACAUGUAGCAGUGUGCAAAUUGGGACUUGGAAAAAAGGCAAUUGUUGGACUUUUCACAGCUGUGUAUGUACCAAAUAAAAAUUAUUUCCAGAA